UACGGGAAGGCAGCAGUGGGGAAUAUUGCACAAUGGGCGAAAGCCUGAUGCAGCUAUGCCGCGUGUAUGAAGAAGGCCUUAGGGUUGUAAAGUACUUUCAUCGGGGAGGAAAAACAAAACUAAUAAUUUUAUUUCUUGACGUUACCCGAAAAAGAAGCACCGGCUAACUCCGUGCCAGCAGCCGCGGUAAUACGGAGGGUGCUAGCGUUAAUCAGAAUUACUGGGCGUAAAGAGCACGUAGGUGGUUUUUUAAAGUCAGAUGUGAAAUCCCUGGGCUUAACCUAGGAACUGCAUUUUGAAACUGAAAUACUAGAGUAUCGUAGAGGGAGGUAGAAUUCUAGGUGUAGCGGUGAAAUGCGUAGAUAUCUGGAGGAAUACCUGUGGCGAAAGCGGCCUCCUAAACGAAUACUGACACUGAGGUGCGAAAGCGUGGGGAGCAAACAGGGAUUAGAUACC
rnacentral:rRNA from 1 species